AAAUUUUAUUUUAUAAAAUUUGAAUGAGAAACAGUGCAGAAAUUUAAAGAACAAUCCAGCUCAAAUCGAACCGCUGGGUUCGUCAGGAUUUAGGUAACCAGGACUAAGGAAACGUAUUAUUUAAGUUCAAAUUGAGAAUUUAAAUAAUCGAGGAAGCUUAUUAAUAUAUUUGGAGUCCAAGGAAUAAAUUUGAGAAUUUUUGGACGAAAAAGUAUAUUUUAGCCGGACUGCAAUUGGACUGCAGAAUUAAUAAAGAAAAUUCAUUAUAAAAUAAAAUAGACAUCCCGAGAUGAUAAUUUGGAGGUUAAUAUUCAUGAAAUACUAUUCGGAAAUUAAUGAGAAAGUUUAAUUUCGAAUAUUGCAAAAGUUACUUUUAUUUACGAAAUUGCCACAAUGGCAAACUUGUAAAUAAUUGAAACAUGAUUUAAUAUCUAGAUAUUUUCUCUACUUAAACUUGGUGCCCAAGUUAAUCCAUCAUCUUCUUCAUUUUGUGGGUGCCGAAUACUCCAUAGCUCCCAACACAAAACCUUAUACUUUUAUUUUCUCUCAAAACUUUCUUCACGAAAAUUGUCGGGAAUAUUGCGUAGAUCGUGUAUGUGUGUUUGCAUGUUCGUUUGAGAUUCGACAAGUUGUCGAGCUAUCGGGUCGGAGGACCAAGGGAAUUAACGGAGUUGUUUAAAGGAGCAUUGACGGAGUAAUACCGUAGUUAAACGGUUUCUGAAAGCUGGUCCGAUUUUGAAGAAGGCUUCCGAACGUUUAUUUCUCGGAAGUCUACUUUGAUAAAAGACUGUAAAGAAGGUUUUAAGUUCUAGGUGUCCGCAGUAGAUUAGUAUAGUCUUAUUGUAUUCAAAUGUUUUAAAGCGCAUUUAAACUCUGAUGUUUUGUCCCAUCAGUUAUUUAAUAAAUGUUUCAUACGUUUCUUUUAAAAGUGAAAAAUUUAUAGUGUUUUUCAGGCUUGCUACGGGUUUCGGAGCAACCACUCCCAUUCCCUAGCGCCGGUCUCGACUCGAGAUUUCGGGUCGUGACACAUACUCUCUUUGAUUAUUUGUUGCAACUAAUCAUCACAAAGAUAUUCUAUUAAUAAUUUGAUUAUUAUUAAGAAGAAAAUAACUGAUGUUUGAAUGAUUUUUUCGUGUUUUAUGAGUUUUAUUUAAUUUUAAAAUAAUAUAUUUUUUGUAUACUUUGUGAAUUUUUUAGUCAAUUUUUAUGAAAAUUUCAUCCCCAAUUGGGUGUUUAUUGCUCCUUUAUGGGUGUUUGUAUCAUAUAUGGCGAGUAUUCUUUAUUACGUUUACUUAUGUAAGAGGGGCUUCUCAAAUGGCUCCUCUAGCUCACAUCCUUCCUCGGCUACCUCAUCAGACACCGCUAUUGUCAGGUAAUAUUUAUAGCACAUUGGCCGCUACCAACUGUAAGUAAUUUCUUUAUUUCUUUUAUUAUUUUUAUUAUUUAUUAUUGCUACCAUUCGUUUAACAAAUUAUCCACAUAUUGAUAUUUAAUUUGUUAAAUGAAUGUGUAAUUGGAUGGCUCAAAUAGUAGACGCGAAGUCCACAUUUAGUUCUUUUAUUUCAAAAGGGUUUCAUCUUCUUCAUGAGAUGACCUUUCUUAUUAUAUAUUUAUAUAUUGUUAUCUUUGGCAAAAAAAAAAAGUACUCUCUAAAAAAAAUAAAAUUAUCAAGCGUACAUCAUUUUAAUUUUUUGUUUUCAUAAUUAUUUCAUAAGACUAGAAUAAAAUAUUUAUAAUUGUUUCAUGGUAAUAAUCCAUUCUUAAGUCUCUAUAUUUUUUAUUUAUUUUUUAAUUAAUUUCUGUAUUUUCCAAUUUUUAUUUACUCAGUUCCUGUACUUUUAUUUUCUUCUAUUUUUUUUUGUAAAUUCAUUAUUUACUUAGUCUUUUUUAAAGUUUCAUUUUUUAUUGUUCCGUCCCUAAUCUAUUUCUUAAUGACUAAAUUAUUGAAAAAUUUGAUUGUAAAUGGACUAAAAAAAUAAAAAAAUAAAAAGUACAAGAAUUAAUUAAAAAAGCAAAAUAAACCAAGAAUCUAAUAAAUAAAAUGUAAAAAAAUACAUAGACCUGAAUAUGAGUUAAGCCUUGUUUCAUAAACAAUUAAAUAACAAAUUUGACUAGACAGUUGCAUAUCAGCUUCAUAACCAAUUUCAUAAUGAGUUUCCUAAACAAGUUUGAUUAAUCACUAUUAUAACAACUUUAGGGUUCAUCAUAUUUGUCGCAUUAACCUUUUACACAAAAAUUAAGAAAGCAAUUAAUAUGUACUCCCUCCGUUCCAUUCUAAUUGAACAAAUUUUCUAUUUUAGAUGUUUCAUUCUAUUUGAAAACUUCUAUUUAUAUAAUACUUUUCACAUUACUUUUUUUCUUUUGCCCUCCUCUAAUGCAUUUUAAAAACAUAUUUUUAAUAAGUGGUGAAGCAUUUAAUGUAAUAUAAGGAUAUAAAAGUAAAGUUACUAAAAUUUCUUAAAUAAUGUGCAAUGAGAAUUUUCUCAAUUAGAAUGGGACAGGAGUAUUAAUUUGUAAACACUUUUACUAAAUUAACCUAACAUUGAAGUUUAUUUAUAUUUAUGACUACCAUUUUAUUUGUUUAUUGUAUCCUUUCAAUAAAUUAAUGGGGGUAAAUAUGAAAAAAUAACAAUUAAUGUUCUCUUAAUAUUAUUACAUGACAAAUAUUAUAGACCGAAAUUUUUUAUCAAAUGCGACAAAUAUUAUGAACCGGAGGGAGUAUUAUUUUAUGAAGAGUUUAUAUAGAGAUUUAUUUUGCAGAUAGUGGAAACAUGAUUUUGAUUUGAAAGGUUCAGUAAUAAUUUUUAAAGAAACACAGCCAGAUGACAAGCUGUUGGUAUGCUCGAAAAAAAAUUAAAAACUAAAUCGACGCAUAACGGCAAGAUUUAAAGGAUUGAAUCGUAAUCAUCGCGAAUAACUCGUAAAAUCCAAAACAUGUGGAUAUAAGUCUAACAAAUAAAACUAAUCUCAUAACUUUAGAUGUUUAUGGGUUAAUUGGUUCAAUUGCUGAAGUUGAAUGUGAUAGUGCACGUAUAUUACAACUUUAUCAGGCCCUUUUUACACUUUAAGGACUAAAUUGGUAUGAGAAAGAAGUCUAGACCUAAUCAACCGUGUUAGAAAAAAAUUAUAGCACAACACUUUAGAUUUUACGUUACGCCAUAAUUCAAGAGGAGAGCAAUUUUAAGAAAAAAUAAUUUAAUAAAUAUUAAAAACAUCAAAAUUUCAAUUUUCAGAUAAUUCUUAACCAUAUUCAAAAUUAAAGUGUAAUAAAGUCAAAAGCUAUUGAAGAACAACACUGGAUUCUUCAUCUAUAUCAACUGAAAUCGAGCCAAGAAUUCAGAAUAAUAUUUUUAAUAAUCCGAAUCAAAUCCUACUACAUAACAAUAAUUUCUUAUUCAUGUAUGUUAGUUACUUCCAAUUAAGUUGAUGAUUUGAUUAGGUUUCUGCUUUUCGCAUUUUUUGCACGCAUGCCUUCAAAAUCAUAAAUUUGCAUAUUUAUAUCCGUUCUUGGACCAAAAACAAUUAUAUUUUUAAUUUUUUUUAAUUGUUAUAUAGUUUUUUUUAAACCUUAAUUGAAUAUAUUGUAUAUAAUUUAUUUUGUAUGAAAAAUUUAUCCAGAGCAAAAAUUGUAGUCUGCCUAGAUUUCCAGCAUUAAGUGGUUCUAUGCAACUUUAUUGCUGCCAGUUAGGGUGGCGCCCCGCCACUCUAUCCAGAAAAAUCCUGAAAUCAAGUUUUUUUUAUCAUUUUGGUAAACUAUUUGACCUUUUUUUUUUCAAAAUCAGUUUGUCUUUUUUUAAUAGACAUAUUGCAUAUUGUAUUUCAUGUCCAUCUAAAGGGAAUAACUUCUUAAUAAGUCUCAUUUUGGAGUUAAUAUGUCAAUAAUAUUGAUAUAAAAAAGCUUUUGACAAUAGAUUGGAAUUUUCUCUUGUAUGUUUUAAAAGUUUUUAGUUUUUCUUUUAAAUUUAGGGAUUUGGUUCUUCUAAUAUUCAAUAUUCUAACUUCUAUUAUGAUUAAUGGGUUGUAUUUUUCUUUUGUUUUGAUUGAUAGAAGAUUUGCUAUAUGUUAAUGAUGUUUUUCUCUUUGUCAAGGCAUCUAGUGUUAUAAUCAGUAAAGGAAGAAUUCUAAAGUCAAAUUUUUUAAAGGAACAUGAGGUUUUUAUUGCACCAUAAAAUCAAAUAAGGAUACAUAAAGAUUAUAGUUAUGAAUAACUCUAGUAGAUACAUAUUCCGCAUUAUGAUGCAAAUCUCAUUGUGAGCAACGCAGGGAUCGGGCUCACCCAGACUUAUGUCUGAUUAAGUUUGAAAAAUGGAGUCUCCACCUAACUCAGGUAGGAAAUAUCUUUUAUAACGACAAGAUAACCUCAUGUUCCUAUGGAUGAGAUUAUCGUGUAUCAAAUUAAAAGACCGGGUUCGUAGACACAACCGAACUCUUAACUUGACUUACUAAUUUUAUUGAUCUAAAAGACAUAUUUCGGAUAGAAAUGCAUCUCAUCAAAACAAGAAAUCUAAAUAACCGUAUAUUGAAAAGUAAAUGGCUGAAAAUGUAAAUAACUAAAAAAUAAAGGGCUGGAAAGUAAAUGCGGAAAUGUAAACAUGCAUUAAAUUUGAAGCGCGCAUAUGACUCGAUCUGCACUGGCAUGAUGAGUAAGUAGCAAGUACUCCUAAACAAGCAUUUAAUCCUGAGAUUUCUAACAUGUAACAGACAAAAGUAAAUUUUAUUUCAUAUGCAUAAAGCCUAAACUGGAUGUAAAUGUGAAAUUGAUUUUACUAAUUAUAUUAGUAGUCACUCGAGCAGAAAUUUGGUUCAUUGUAGUAGCCUGAGAUUGGCUUUCUUUUUACACAGAUGAAUUGACAUUCACAUGCAUUAAUUAAGAUUUUAUUUUAGCUGUCUUUUGCAAUUCGUUUAAUGAUAUAAUUCGCUUUCCAAUUUCUAGUGCCAUGGUUUAGAAAAUCCGUAAUAAAUCGGAUUACAUAAGAAGAUUGAUACAACUUAAAUUUAGAUAAAAAAGAUAUAGUUGAGAUAUGGAAAAGAAACUGAAAUAGACCUUCUGAGAGUUGAUUAGUGUUUAGAAAACGUGGGUGAUAGGUAUUAAAAUUUUAAAAAUAAUAGACUAUGAGAGAGAUAAAGAGCAGCGGCAGCUCCUCGGUGGCCGCCUGGAGGAAUUUUUUUAAUUUUUUUAAUUUUUAAUAUAAUUUAUAAAAUUAUUUAAUUAUUAGGAUUUAUUUGAAAUAUUUUUAAAGUUAAAGGACUUUUUUAUAUUUUUUUCAAAAAAAAAAGAUAUAAUAUAACCCUUAUACUUAGUUGUUUUGAAUGAUUUCAUCCUUAAAUUAAUUACAUCGUCAAUAAUAUGCUUAUUCGGAGUAUAGGUGAAAUAUAAAAAUCCAAAAUAGAGUACAAAUGAACUUUUUUUAUAUUAGGAUAUAAAUGUAAAAAAGUUUUAACCUGGAUGGUUUUUAAAUAAUUAAAACAAAGAAAAAUAGUGAAUGAAAAAAAUUUAAACACUUACAAUUUUUGAAAACACAAAAAGUGUUUAGGAUUUUUUUGUAAUUUUUCUUAAUUUUUAAAAUAAAAUCAUUUAAUGGUAAAUUCAUGGGGGCGUUUGAAUGUGUUUUGUGGAUACUUUUGGGCUAGAAGACGUUUCCUUUCUGAAGCUACAAGAGGCUGGACCAUUGUCCUUACCCAUUAAUAUGAUGCCAAAAGCCCCAUGUAUAAUACCGUUGGCAAGGGGCGUAACUUUUUCUAAUUUGUUUUUAAAAAAGACGGUUUGUUACAUGAAUUUUUAUCCCAUGUAUUGGUUGUGCCAUGUCAUAUUUACAACAAACAAAUAAAUAUUUGCGAUAGAAAAUUUUUUAA